rnacentral:lncRNA from 1 species
GUUACAAGUGCCUUCUAAAUGAAUUUGUGGUUUGGAUCACAACAAGUACCAUGUAAUUCUGACUGAAAGAGAUACAGACUGCUAGAGUGUAAAGUGGAUUGUCCCUAAUUAGAAUGAGCAUGAUCAGUUACCCAAUCCUAAAAACUGACAGAACUUUUCAGGGCACAGCAAUAUCUAGUGGACCAUCUACUAAAGGACUUCUUUAUGACAUGCACCACUGUUAAUCAUAUUCAUAAGCCCUUCCAUCUCAGACGAGGGGUGAUUGAAAUGAGUGCUGGAUGUCUGAGUAGAGCUGGGAAGAUAACAUCUUUCAGACACAGCAAAGGAAAGCCCCUUCAGAUGAGUGAGCUUGAAAAGUCACCUGGGCUCAGAUAUAUUUAAACUAUGUUCUUGAGCUUGUAAAUGUCUAUGUUUACUGGGUAUUGAUUUAAUGUCUUAAAUAUCCCAACUUAUCAGGAAUUGGACUGGAUAGGUUGCUAUGAGACUUGAAAAACUGGGGCAAAAUGUGAAUUUUUGACUGAAUUCCAGCCCAAUAGCCUCAGAAGAAUGGUUGGAUGAGAGGUAAUUGAUGAGCAUCAACUUCUGCAAUGCUCCCAAGUACAAGGGCAGCUGAAAUCACCACCUGGUUAUGAAUCACAGCCAUGUCUAGCCCUUCAAAUAAAAAUGGGCUCUGGUAUGAAAAUUUGUCAGUUUGAGAUAUAUCUCAUACCUAAAAAUGUCUCUAACCAACAGGAACAUUACCACCAUGAAAGUGGAUAUUAAACCUCUUUCCCCUGAGGCACUCUGAGUUCAGUGAGAAGACCAUGGUUUCAAUCAGAGCAAUCUUAGGGAUCAUAAGACAAAAUUGGAACCAUCUGGGAAUAACAAAAAAUGUCAAAGAACAAAAAUUACCAGGCUUAGGUGAAAUCUUUGUAAAGUGCUGUGUGGCACACUGGCUUGGAUAUAUGGCUUUUGCUUUGUGUUUUGUUGUAAGUACUUAUCUUUGUUAUGCAUAUUAUGAAUGCAUAUUAUUUAAUUGUGAUGUCACAAGGUCAUUGGCCUCAGGCUUUUGAAAUAAUUCUAUUGCUAUAUCGUAGCUGAGGUUUUCCCGCAGAAUGAUCAGG